GGCACUUUGGCGGAGUGGUUAAGAAAGGCUCCCCUCCUUCUUUAAUGAACUAAAACUAACCUCUUCUACAGCGCGCGGGCCUGCUAAGCCCGUUCCUUCGGGAGCGAGAGUUCGAAUCUCUCAGGUGUCG